rnacentral:misc_RNA from 1 species
GAUGAAGAACGCAGCGAAAUGCGAUACGUAAUGUGAAUUGCAGAAUUCAGUGAAUCAUCGAGUCUUUGAACGCACAUUGCGCCCCUUGGUAUUCCGAGGGGCAUGCCUGUUCGAGCGUCAUUUCAACCCCUCAAGCUUCGGCUUGGUGUUGGGCCGCGCCGCUGCACCAGCAGCUGGCGGGCCUCAAAAUCAGUGGCGGUGCCGUCUCGGCUCUAAGCGUAGUAACAUCUCUCGCUCUGGAGACCUGGCGGUGGCUUGCCAGACAACCCCCAACUUUCUUUAAGGUUUGACCUCGGAUCAGGUAGGGAUACCCGCUGAACUUAAGCAUAUCAAUAAGCGGAGGA